UCCCAGUCUCGCUUUUGCUAGUUAAGUCCUCAUAGGCAUUAGAGACAUUCUCUUAUUCUUAUAGUUAUUAAAAGAAGAGUGAAAGUAAACAGUAUAAUACUCAAAAGCAUAAGCAGGGUUCGAGGUCGAGUAAACUAUAUCAUAGGGAUGAUAGGCAGGAUAGGGAAUAAUGUGAAUAAGAUAGCAGAGUGAAAGGUAUGAGUAAGGUUCGGCUACUAUCAGUUCAUUCUGAUUAGUGGUGGUGGACUUAUGACUUAUUGAGUGCAAUUCCGAGUUCCCAUUCCAGUUCCCAUUCCGAUGUAUCUUACUAAUGAGUUAGACUCCCUUGACUCCCUUUACCGCAACUCGGAUAAGCCAUACCCAAAUACGCUAUGUGGAAUAAAUAGCCUAUUAUCUCUAUUAUCAGCUUCAGUCUUAUAAGCACUAGUCCCUUUUCAAUACAAACAGACAAGACGAGCAAUACAAUAUGAAAGAGGCAAUUAAGAUACUUUAGUUGGAAACAAAGAGUCAAAGCGAGGGAAGUCAGAAUGAGAUAGAGCAACGGGGAACUUCAAGCCGGUAGUUUUUGUUUGAAUCAAAAGAGAAGGCUUUUAUGGCUGAUACUUGAAUGGGUGCAAGCAUAUGCUUUUGAAUAAGCAAGCCCAUUAUGCGGGGGAGCAGCUCAGUCUAAGUUAAGUCGAAGGGCCUAUCUACAUUUUCUUUCUGUAUUUGGAUGGCCUCUCGAAUUGCCUCAGGAUACGUUAUAGCUAUUGGUAUCGAGCUCCCGAAAGCAAUCUAAAAGGUAAUGGCCUGGCCCCUAACCUCAAUAUCAUAGUCAAGUCGCUUUCGAAGCCAAAGAAGGAGUCUAAAAGAGAGAUUGCGCUUAUCUUAUAUCUUAUAUUAUCAUAUUAAUUGUAUGUCCUACUUUUCUGUCUUGUAUCUAUUUAGAGCUAUGAGUAACAACAAUGUUAACCAACUCUCCCAAUCUUGUUUAUAUAUCGAUAUCGACAUUGAAUAUAGAAUUUCUUGUUGUUCGUUAGAAUCGAUUACUAUUUGUUGUUUUCUCCGGCGUUACUCGUAAUGCUAUGUUAGCUUAGGAUGAUCCUUCUUGUUACUCGUAAUGCUAUGUUAGCUUAGGAUGUCAAGGUAUCACAAUAUUCAUGAUAAGCCCAUGUUGUAGACCAAGUUCAGAUCGACCAAGCGGGAGUGAUGAAUGAAUCAAUCAAUGAGUUCGAAAUGCAUGUAUUAUAAGCAUAUUUUCAUCGAUCUAGUUGUGAGCCCGAGAUAGACGCCCUCUGCUUUGG
rnacentral:lncRNA from 1 species